rnacentral:rRNA from 1 species
AACGAACGCUGGCGGCGCGCCUAAUACAUGCAAGUCGAGCGAGAAGACGUAGCAAUACGUUUGUAAAGCGGCGAACGGGUGAGGAAUACAUGGGUAACCUACCCUCGAGUGGGGAAUAACUAGCCGAAAGGUUAGCUAAUACCGCGUACGCUCCUUGGACUUCGGUUCAGGGAGGAAAGCGAUACCGUGGGUAUCGCGCUCUUGGAUGGGCUCAUGUCCUAUCAGCUUGUUGGUGAGGAACGGCUCACCAAGGCUUCGACGGGUAGCUGGUCUGAGAGGACGAUCAGCCACACUGGCACUGCGACACGGGCCAGACUCCUACGGGAGGCAGCAGUAAGGAAUAUUGCGCAAUGGGCGAAAGCCUGACGCAGCGACGCCGCGUGGGGGAUG